CCUACGGGAGGCAGCAGUGAGGAAUAUUGGUCAAUGGGCGCGAGCCUGAACCAGCCAAGUAGCGUGAAGGAUGACUGCCCUACGGGUGGUAAACUUCUUUUAUAAAGGAAUAAAGUGAGGCACGUGUGCCUUUUUGUAUGGACUUUAUGAAUAAGGAUCGGCUAACUCCGUGCCAGCAGCCGCGGUAAUACGGAGGAUCCGAGCGUUAUCCGGAUUGAUGGGGUUUAAAGGGAGCGUAGAGGGGUUGUUAAGGCAGUGUUGAAAGUUUGCGGCUCAACCGUAAAAUUGCCAUUGUUACUGGCAGCCUUGAGUACAGUUGCGGUAGGCGGCAUUCGUUUUGUCGCCGUUAAAUGCUUCGCUAUCAC
rnacentral:rRNA from 1 species